GAUAGUCCAGUUUGCUUUUCCUCGCUACCAGUCGCGACAGCCAAUAGCGAAACUCGUACACCUGUGAGCUGUGGCUGAGAAAUUUUGAUUGUGGACGGGAUCUUUUUAUCUUAUUAAGCCUGACACUAUCUGAGAGAGACUGAUCAAUAGCCCGCCUGAGUUGUUGCUGCUGCUGCUGCUGCUCCUCCUCCUACCUGUCGUCUUCUCUCCUACUGAAGAACACACAAGGGCGAGAUGACCUUAAUAACAGCAUGGGACUGGUCAGCAGUAUAGGACAGCAGACGCCCGUGAGAAGAAACCGCGAAUCCAGCGACGACCCGCACAGCGUGGCGAGGCCUCUUCAGCCAGCUUACCCUCCAAAUCAAACUCCACUGCAGAGUGCAAGACCCCUUUCAACAGCCCCUGCAUGGCAGCAGCAGUCAGUGUCACCUAUAUUCUACAAUAAUUACCCGCAGCCUUACAGUCGGCCCCUCUCCAUCCCGGACGAAGAUGCCAGGUCAUGGGAACUCGUGCCGGAUAGAUUUUCGUCGGCUGUGUCCAACUCACCCCUGCCCUUCCAACCUCUCCACCCUCCAGCACACAGCCAAGACAGUGCAAAAUACACGGGCAUGUGCUACUGUCCUUUGCAAAUGGGCAGCGUACGGGCCACUGGCAUCCUUUUGACGAGGGCAGUUCACAAACUGGAGGCCACGCCGCCAGCUUAUCUCCUCAUGCCUGACCAUCCCAACAAAUUACCAUCGCCGCCAUUUCGUUCACUGCCACAGGCCCCACCGAACACAUCCCAUGGCCUCCGGUUAGACAGUGGCGUGCCCCCAUUCCCCGCCGUACAUAAAUCCCAUUCAAGCAGAGAUUUAGUUUCCGGGAGGCAUCUGCACAAUGAUGCAGACAGAUUUGAUGGUGGCCCGAGACCCCCGUCGGUCGGUUAAGGGUAAACUAUUCUACGGUGUAGAAUUAUUUCCAAAAUGAUGGAAAGUACUUAAUUCUAGAGGAUAUUAAUUAACAUUCCUUCAAUCUAUAUUCGUGACAAUCGUUUUCUACGCGAAUCUUGCAUAAGCAUGUGUUCAUUCAUGGAUUCUGACAUUACAGCGAGUUUGAGUUUACUACGUAUAAAAUGAAAGACAUGAUAAUAUCGUUUUCUGUGUAUUGCCAAAAAUAAUAACUGAUGAAUGACAAUCAACUCGUGAAGCCACAUAAACAUCAAAUACGUAGUUUUUCCCAAACUUAAAAAGCGUACUGAUUACAUACAGGAAUUAUGGUCGUGCGUUAAGCGACUACAAGACAAAGGAGAGUACAAUAUGUUACUCGCAACCUUUUUCUGUUCAAAUGAAGGCAAUACCAUGUGAACCUUGUGUAUUACUUUCUCCAUAGCGGGAUAUUAGUGAUUUGUUUCCUACUUUACGGUGGAACAACUUACUUUCAUAGAUAUCGUCAUCCUGUUCCCUUUAUUUGAGAUUAUGGCUAUGUUAGCCACACAAUUCUCAGCAAUCUUUGACGAGUAGUUCUAACUUUCCUCUUUACUAUUUUUCAUUCCUGAACAAAUUACAAUGUACUACAAAUUACACAAAAUGCCAGGUGACAAUGGAUUAUUCAUAAAACUUUGAUCCACGAAAGGGAGAUGAGAGGAAACUCACGAAUCUGACUCCGGCCUUUCGUGUGGUGUGGUAAACAAAAUUUGUACAUUUAAAAUUGGGAAAGACAAAAGGAAGGGGAGAGAGAGAGAGACUUCAUUCAAAGUUACUUUGUGGGACAGCCGAACGUAAGCAGAAUUACUGGGUCAGUUGUGAACUAGAUCGCUGUCUUAUUUAUAUGUGUGGAUAUGUUUCUGAAUACUCUGAAAGUUCACAAUUCGAUUAAUAUUUUGUCUGUAAGAACGUCAUACAUUACAUGCAAACAUAUAAACUACGCCUGCGUAGACUUUGUCUCCAACUUCGUGUGCGUUUCCUUAAAUUUUUACCGUUAUCAAAUUAUCAUUAAUUCCUGUUAUUUAAAAAUUGACGAUAUUUGUACAUCAGUAUUGCCAACAUGACUGUAAUACAAUUAUACAAAACUCCGUUAGUACAAACCAGCAUAAGCAAAAUAUUUUUAUUUCAUAAUUAAGUUUGUUGCGACCUCUGAUUUACAUGUCAAACAUUGGGAAAACAACAGUAAACCUUUAGCUUAUCAACAAGAUGUACAAAUAGACAUACUGAGUUGGAGUGGUUGGACGAAAGGAAGUGGCAACGGAAGUAGAGUAAACGGUUAAAAAGUGACUGGAGCCACCGCCAUCUACGGGCCAAAGGAACGCUGCAAACAACCAUUGGUGAUGCCUACAGUAUGCCGCAUGAGGUGCACUGACGGCACUACCCCCUUAUGGGGUAUAUGGACAUAUGUGUGUUUACGUUCUAUUACACACAACUUGUGGGUUAGGUUAGAUGUAAAAAAAAAGGGGGGGGGGGGGAGAAUGGUAAAAUAACAAUCUUCAGUAUGCAAAACUAAACAAAGUUUCCAUGACCUGUAGUUUCUUUUGCAUUGUUGCAUGUUUCAAUCUGUUAAUUUCCGGUGCUGGGACAAUGACUAAAUUACAUAACCACUUUUCUUUCAAAAUAUAUUCACGAAAAUCAUGACUAAAGAGAUACCUGAAUGUGUCACAAUUACCUUUUCCUCCAUAGCCUAUAGUUUCCAACCGAAAAAAGUGGAAUAUUUAUCAACAAAAUUCUAAACUAUUCGACAGAAUUCUAAACUAGUCUCAUUACUCCAUUAGUCAAUUGGCGCUACAUCAAAAUUCAGAAAAUAUUAUACCAUAAUUAUAAUCUACUCGUUUCAGAGAACUUCCUACACCAGUGCGGAUUCGUCUACUGUAUUCCGAUGUGAUGUCAUUACCUCGGCACGGAGGGAAAUCACAAAUUGUGAAAAAGGUAGAAUAUUUAAGAAAUGGGGGAGGCGCACGAAUUAGCAUUAGGGAGAGAAUGAAAUUGGCAAAUUUAUCCUUUCAAUUAUGUCUUUUGUUUGUACGGUGUUUUUACGUUGCAUGGAACCAGUGGUUUAUUCAGCAAUGGGACCUACGGCUUUACGUGACUUUCGAACCACGUCGAGAGAGAAUUUCUAUCACCAGAAAUACACGUCUCUCACUCAUCAACGGAAUGCCCGAAAAUUCACUUAUGUCUGAAAUAAGUCAACAUCUUGUCCAGUAUUCACUGUGACUGAUUUCACACUAAACUAUUGUUAUUACGUUGUUGUAAGCGUUUGCCGAUUCCUAAGUGUUAUUAUAUAAGAUCAUCUUACCUAGGGAAUAUUAAGCACAAUUAUUAGUAGUUUGUCCUUAAAGAUAGUGAAAGGAACGUGAACGUCAUGCCAUGUAAAGGAAAACUGCACCAUUUAAUGCGAAGUGUAUUUUCGAAGACAUCAGAAAAGAAAAAAUAUGGAUGUGAACAAUAAUCACAUGUUCCCAACUUGAACAUGACAAAUUUCCAUUAAUGAUUUAAAUUACAUAUAGGUCAGUAGUGCUAUAAUGUACAGAAAUAAGUCUCAGUAUUUAACUGGCUUCUUUCAAGACGUACAAUGACUGGGUUUAUUUAUCUUUAAUUAGUUGUUAUUCAUCCAUUUCGUAAACUCAACAAUACCACAGGUGUAAAAAAUACUGUAUGAAGGCAACAAGAUCAUCUUUCCGAGAAGAACAUGUACAUAAUUAUGACUUGGAUAUGCCAAGUCUGGCUCAUGAGAAUUUGUAAGCCGUCAAUUAGAGAUUUUAAGUUUUUUACCAUGUGAAUAUUCACAAAUACUGUAUAUACCUGCAUGUACAGCUACACGAAAAGGCUUUUGUCAGUCUGACAUGUAGUAUUGUUUAAGAAGGUUUACUGUCAUUCUACUUUAUUUAAUAAUAAAAGA